rnacentral:rRNA from 1 species
UACGAAGGGUGCAAGCGUUACUCGGAAUUACUGGGCGUAAAGCGUGCGUAGGUGGUUCGUUAAGUCUGAUGUGAAAGCCCUGGGCUCAACCUGGGAAUGGCAUUGGAUACUGGCGAUCUAGAGUGCGGUAGAGGGCAGUGGAAUUCCCGGUGCAGCAGUGAAAUGCGUAGAGAUCGGGAGGAACAUCUGUGGCGAAGGCGACUGCCUGGACCAGCACUGACACUGAGGCACGAAGGCCAGGGGAGCAAACGGG